rnacentral:rRNA from 1 species
GAUGAACGCUGGCGGCGUGCCUAAUACAUGCAAGUCGAGCGAACGGACGAGAAGCUUGCUUCUCUGAUGUUAGCGGCGGACGGGUGAGUAACACGUGGAUAACCUACCUAUAAGACUGGGAUAACUUCGGGAAACCGGAGCUAAUACCGGAUAAUAUUUUGAACCGCAUGGUUCAAAAGUGAAAGACGGUCUUGCUGUCACUUAUAGAUGGAUCCGCGCUGCAUUAGCUAGUUGGUAAGGUAACGGCUUACCAAGGCAACGAUGCAUAGCCGACCUGAGAGGGUGAUCGGCCACACUGGAACUGAGACACGGUCCAGACUCCUACGGGAGGUAGCAGUAGGGAAUCUUCCGCAAUGGGCGAAAGCCUGACGGAGCAACGCCGCGUGAGUGAUGAAGGUCUUCGGAUCGUAAAACUCUGUUAUUAGGGAAGAACAUAUGUGUAAGUAACUGUGCACAUCUUGACGGUACCUAAUCAGAAAGCCACGGCUAACUACGUGCCAGCAGCCGCGGUAAUACGUAGGUGGCAAGCGUUAUCCGGAAUUAUUGGGCGUAAAGCGCGCGUAGGCGGUUUUUUAAGUCUGAUGUGAAAGCCCACGGCUCAACCGUGGAGGGUCAUCGGAAACUGGAAAACUUGAGUGCAGAAGAGGAAAGUGGAAUUCCAUGUGUAGCGGUGAAAUGCGCAGAGAUAUGGAGGAACACCAGUGGCGAAGGCGACUUUCUGGUCUGUAACUGACGCUGAUGUGCGAAAGCGUGGGGAUCAAACAGGAUUAGAUACCCUGGUAGUCCACGCCGUAAACGAUGAGUGCUAAGUGUUAGGGGGUUUCCGCCCCUUAGUGCUGCAGCUAACGCAUUAAGCACUCCGCCUGGGGAGUACGACCGCAAGGUUGAAACUCAAAGGAAUUGACGGGGACCCGCACAAGCGGUGGAGCAUGUGGUUUAAUUCGAAGCAACGCGAAGAACCUUACCAAAUCUUGACAUCCUUUGACAACUCUAGAGAUAGAGCCUUCCCCUUCGGGAGACAAAGUGACAGGUGGUGCAUGGUUGUCGUCAGCUCGUGUCGUGAGAUGUUGGGUUAAGUCCCGCAACGAGCGCAACCCUUAAGCUUAGUUGCCAUCAUUAAGUUGGGCACUCUAAGUUGACUGCCGGUGACAAACCGGAGGAAGGUGGGGAUGACGUCAAAUCAUCAUGCCCCUUAUGAUUUGGGCUACACACGUGCUACAAUGGACAAUACAAAGGGCAGCGAAACCGCGAGGUCAAGCAAAUCCCAUAAAGUUGUUCUCAGUUCGGAUUGUAGUCUGCAACUCGACUACAUGAAGCUGGAAUCGCUAGUAAUCGUAGAUCAGCAUGCUACGGUGAAUACGUUCCCGGGUCU